GGUUCUGACCCAGUAUCUUAAGGUACUAAGGCGUCCGACCAUCCACUUGUGGUUGCGUCGAAAACCUCAAUUUUUGGACAGCCUUUUCGGGGUAUCCGGGAGGGCAAC
rnacentral:sRNA from 1 species